ensembl:lncRNA
CACAGGAAGGACUCUACAGGUGCAGAGGAGGAAGAGGAAACCCAGUUUACUACACAGAGGACAGCCAGUCAGUCAGGAUUGAUCGCAGGGCAGCACCUGAAAGCUCUUCAUUUCUCACUCCUUUGAUCGUUGGACUCGUUUGUGGAGUUUUACUGAUUCUUCUUCUUCUUCUGCUUUUGUGUCGCUUCAAACAGUCAAAGGAUUCCUUCUUUGUCAGGACUCGGAGCACAAAUCAGAGCUCUGCAAUGAACCACAUGAUCAAGGAUGAAGCUCAACACAGUCAAGAUAACUCUACUGUCCAAGGUGAUGCUUGUGUUUAUGAAUCAAUCAAAGACCAUGAUGACACACAAAAUGAUGACAGUGUGCUGUAUGCACAGGUCUCCCACGAUAGAUCUAAAACCAAGAAAGACAACGAUGACAGCCUGUUGUACGCACGGGUCUAUUACACUAAAGCGAAACCUAAGAGACACAAAGGAAAACCAGCUCCUGCAGCAGCUGAUGAAACAGUUUAUUCUGAAGUUAAAUCACAAACAGCUCUGAGUUACUGUGCAGAAAUAAAAUAGCUUACAUGUUGCUGUAACGAUGAACUUAAAUACUAAAGUUUUUAAGUUUUUAGUAAAUUUAGUUCUAAAUCACCUUUAAUGACUGAAUUGUGCUGCACCAUUUCUUUCAGAUUAAUAACAAGAUCUGCAAAACCAACCGGAUCAGUGACAAAACUGAGUUAAUUCCAUUAGAAGUAAAGAGCUCAUUGGAGAAAAUGAGAUUAUGCACUGUUUUGUAAAAUAAAAUAAAGUCAAACAAACUUUCUUUCAUCAUAAUAGCACCAACUGAUGAUCUGGCUUUGAGACCAGGAUGCUUUUUAGAGUCUUUUUACAUUUAGAUUGCUCAAUAAAUAAACAACAAAUAAAAAAAUAAAAAUAAACAACAUUUGGAAAUGAAAGUCAACAACCUACAGAGGGCUAAAUGCAGAGACACAUCAAAGUGACAAAAUAAUGCAGCAGGUUUGUCCAUUUUGUCAAAUGUUCAUUGCAUCAACUCAGAAUGAUACUCAGUUGUCAGUUUGGCCAACGUGUGCUUGUGUGCAUGCCUGACAAUCUUGGAGCAUAUGAAUAAUGAGUCAAUGGUGUCCUGGGGAUCUCCUCCAAGAUCUGGACCAGGGCAUCUGAGCUCCUGGAGAGUCUGAGCUGCAGCAUGGCAGCUUCAAAUGGAGAGAAGCAUAAUGUCCCAGUUGGAUUUUGGUCAGGCGAGUGUGGGGACCAGUCAGUGGUAUCAAUUCCGUAAUCCUCCAGGAACUGCCUGCAUACUCUCAACACAUGAGGGUGGUCAUUAUCAUACCAGGAGGAACCCAGGACCCACAGCACAAUAGGGUCUGACAGUGGGUGACAGACUCUUGAGCAUGCACUGAAUUGGCAUCCUAGAGGAGUUGGACAUCCUGUACAACCUCUGUAGCAUCCAGGGAUCGUCUCACCCUGCUGUACCUAGUGUUAACUACAUUUUCUGCUACUUCAUCGAGGAUAGACAUUUGAGUGAUGUGAUGCUAAACACUGAUUAAAAAUAAUUCCUUUAAUUUUUUUUGAGCAGUGCAUGUUUACAGAUGUUUCCUGUAUUGUUUCUAAAAUCAUUUGAUGUGUAUGAUAAGCAUACAUGUUUCUCUUCCCCUGCAUGAAUUAAGCAUCACUUGACAUUUUUCUAUAAAGUUGCUUUUCUUCUUUUAACAGCUUUAGGAAAAGAUCAACUUUAAAUUUUAUUUUAUGGAAGCUGCUUGGAGAGCUGCAAUUGUGUUAUAUGAAUAUGUGUUUCCUAUAAGAUAUUUAAUCUCAAAUAUUGUUACAUCUACAGUCUUGUUUGUUGAAAAACAAUUUUUCUUGUUUUCUUGUUUCUGCGCUUCAUUGCUCCAGAUAGAUCUAAUUCACACAUGGCUGAUAUCAUCCACAUAUUUUAGUUUCUGUCAGUGUAAGAUUUAGUUCUUCCUCCCAGCUGUUACCAGGUGCUUGUUUAAAGCAGACUUUUUAUUUUAAGGUGAUUAUCUUAUAAAAUAAAGCAUUUUGAGGCGGCUAUUAUUGUGAGUUGUUGUUAAAUAAACA